GUUUUUUUGUAUUGGCUAUGUUGAGUUUACACAUAAAACACAUGGCUUUGUUCCAGCUGCCAGGUGCUCAGCUGCAGCCCCAGAUUGGAGCCCAGUCGGACUCUUGCUCUUCAGCAGGAGCGGCUGUGGGCAGAUGCUUUGCCCUCCCAGCCGUGUUAUAGCCCUAAGUCAGUUGUGCCGUGUUUGGAGAGAAGAAGCUUGGUGCCAAUAAACCCUCUGAGGAAUCACAGGAUGGGACUCUCUGCUUUCAAGUAGUGUUGUAGGCCCAGAGGAAUAGAAACGCUACUAGGAUGCAAGGGACGUACUUUCAUUGCAUCCAGGGAAGCUGGUGAAGACAGCUGCUGGCAGUUUAACAUAGUUGUUCUUCUGAGUCAAACUGCUGGGCAGUAGAUGCUGCUGGUAGUACUCUGCAGUUCUGCAAGGGCUGUGUGUGUCAUGGGAACACUGUUCCCCGUGCUACUGCUGGAUUCUUGUGAGAUCUUAAGGGUCUUAUACAACAUUCAUUUUAUUUAGGAGCUAGAGAUCACAUACCUGUUUCCUUUUUGUAACCCAUUGGUGAAGAUGUCAACAGUUAACUUUAUGGAGUCACAAUAAUUAUAUAUAUAUAUAUAUAUAUAUACAUAUAUAUAUAUAUAUUUUUUUUUUCUGAUGCAAUUCCAGGUCAUUGUUAUUUUUAUCACCUUAGACACCCCUUUUUGUACAGGAGGGAUAUGCUGCUACCAGGCUGUUGGGCCACAAAAAACAAAGAGGCAACUGGAGAGCCAGCACAACUCUAACAUAGCUGCUAUAAAAUUGUCAAGCUAGUUUUGGAUGUGAUGGAGGCUGCCCGCAAGUUCUCUUACUUGUACUAAUGCUCUUCCAAAGUGCUUGUUUGGGUUUUGCUUCAAGAAAUCAGGAGCAUUCGUCUUAUUAAAUUGUCAUCUUCUGAAACAGGGCUAUCUCAUGGCACAGAAGUUGCUUAAUCUUGACAGGGAAGGGCAGCCAAAAAAAGAAAUAGAUAAACUCUGAGAGGUGUCCCUUUGUUAGGUGGUGCACUGUACUCCACCUUAUCUUCCUUUUAAUGUUCUGUAAAUAAGGCUGCCUCCUACUGUGGUUAUCUCUCCAGGUAAAACUUCUAAGAUCAGUGAUGGUGAGAAGGGUCAGGCACUGGGCUCGUCUUCACGUUCACAUACAAACCACUGACUUUCCUGCUUCUCGUUAGUUUCUCACUUGUGUUUCCUUUAAGUGGUAGGAAGGGUUUUGCUUGUUUUUGUCUUGUGCUGUGUAUUUUCUUGCACAAUGAAAUGUAAACAUCACCUUUCCUCUGAGUGUUUGGAUAUUCAGUGACUGCACAAAACCCUACAACACCAUAUUUUUUGCAUUGUGAUCCAUUAAUAUGGUCAUGGUGUGAAUUUAUCCCACUUGUAAGUUAAUACAUUUAGAAAUAAAUAAUUGUGGGUUGUUUUGUUUUGCUGUAUUUUGUUUUUCAAAGUAAGCUGCCAUUCAGUCUUGGCUUGUUGUCUAUACUUGUGAAUGCUAAUGGAACAUUUGAGUUAAAUCCAGUAAAAACUUUCUCGGUUGACUACCACCAUUCAGAUUACAUGGAAUAGAUUAGUGUUACCUUGGGCUAGAGGGAAAGAUGCUGUUGAUUGUUGCAAAUGAAUUUCUUUUUUGCUAGUGGCAAUAUAGGAAUGAGUUGUGGUUUAAUUUUUUUUUUAGAUCAGGUCUGCUCCUACUCUCAACAAAGAACAUUCCCAAGCUCUACUUGAUUUCAGAGAGAGCAGAAUUUGUCCCUUGGUACUCUAACAUACAGAGCUGUCAUUUGUUUGGAUAUUUUUUCCAGUCAUAAUAGCUUUGUUAAGAACUGUAACAUAUCACAAAGCAUAAUAAAUGGAACAGAACUGGCUGUUCUCAGAAAGACUGUCAAUGGAGACUCAUCAGUGAAUGGAAAUGCUUCCAGUGAAGUUCUGCAGGGACCAGUACUGUAAAAAUGCUAUUAAGAAUUUUCAUUACUCUUUUGAAAAUACUUAUAAAAUCUCUGCUCUUAAAAUGCCUAUAUGCCACAGUUUGGAAGAACAUAAAACAAGGACAAUAAAGUGCUGAUCGUGAACAACCUAUGUUGCUCAAUAAACAGUACAUAUAUGUUGUAUUUGACCUUACUGAAACAUAUUCAAAGUCACUCACUUAGGAAUAAGAAAUAUAGGUCCUCCAUCCAUGCAAUGGGAGACUAUGUCCUGGAAGUCAGUGGCUGGAAUAAAUUUGCAGCUCAUCAGAAGAGCAGCUGACAGCACAAUGUUAUAGCAGAAAGGGCCAGUGAGACUCCUGGGUGUAUAAAAAUCAGAGGGAGGAAAGGUGUGAUUUUACUUUGAAACGUAGCAUCACUGAUGCCAGGAACAUUCUUAAGAAUCAUAGAAUGGUUUGGGUUGGAAGGGACCUUAAAGACCAUCCAGUUCCAACCCCCCCUGCCAUGGUCAGGGAUGCCACCCACUAGACCAGAUUGCCCAGGGCCUCGUCCAACCUGCCCUUGACCACCUCCAGGGAUGGGGCAGCCACAACUUCUCUGGGCAACACGUUCCAGUGCCUCACCACCCUCUGAGAGAAGAAUUUCCUCCUAACAUCUAAUCUAAAUCUGCCCUCUUUUAUCUUAAAACCCUUCCCCCUUGUCCUAUCACUGUCUGCCCAUAUAAAAAGUCACUCUCCAUCUUUUUUUAUAAGCCCCCUUUAAGUAUUGAAAGGCUGCAAUGAGAUCACCCUGGAGCCUUCUAUUUAGGCUGAACAGCACCACCUCUCUCAGCCUUUCUUCAUAGGAGAAAUGCUCCAGUCCUCCAAUCAUCUUUGUGGACCUUCUCUUGACCGACUCUAACAGAACCACAUCCUUCUUGUGCUGGGGGCCCCAGACCUGGACACGGUACUCCAGAUGGCACCUAACAAGGGCAGAGCAGAGGGGGACAAUCACCUCUCUCAGCCUGCUGGCCGCUCCUCUGUUGAUGCAGUUGGCCUUCUGGGCUGCAAGCACGCACUGUUGGUUCAUGUUGAGCUUUUUGUUCACUAGAUCCCCCAGGUCCUUUUCUGUAGGGCUGCUCUCCUCUCCCAGUCUGUGUUCAUGCCUGGGAUUGCCCUCACCCACAUGCAGCACCUUGCACUUAGAAUCAUUGAAUCAUUCAGGUUGGAAAAGACCUCUAAGAACAUGUAGUCCAACCUUCAACCUAGUACUAAAGUCCACCAAUAAACCAUGCUACUAAGUUCUAAAUCUACACGUUUCUUGAAGACCUCUGGGGAAGGUGACUCAACCACUUCCCUGAGCAGCCUAUUCCAAUGCUGCACAACCCUUUCAGUAAAGAAAUUUCUAAUAUCCAACCUAAACCUCUGCUGGCACAUCUUGGGUUCAUUUCCCCUCGUCUUACCACUUGGUGCUUGGGAGAAGAGACCUUGCUAUAGCCUCCUUUAAGGUAAUUCUAGAGUGGUCUUGUUGAACGUCAUUAGGUUCACAUGGGUCCACUUAUCUAGCUUGUCUAAAUCCCUUUGUAUGGCAUCCCUUCCUUCUGUUGUAUCGACUGUACCACUCAGCUUGGUGUCAUUUGCAAAAUUGCUGAGGGUGUACUGGAUCCCACUGUCUAUGUCACUGAUAAAGAUAUUAAACAGUACCAGUCUUAAGAUGGACUCCUGAGGGACACCACUUGUCAUCAGCCUCCACCAGGACAUAGAGCACUUAACUACGACUCUCUGAAUGUUGCCAUCCAGACAAUACCUUAUCUACUGAAUUCCACCCUUCAAAUCCAUAUCUCUCCAGUCUGGAGAUCAGGAUGUCAUGUGGAACCAUGUCAAAAGCCUCACAUAAGUCCAGGUAGAUGACAUCGGUCGGUCUUCCCUUGUCAACAGAUGCAGUCACUCCAUCAUAGAAGGCCACCAGAUUGGUCAGGCAUAAUUUGCCCUUGGUGAAGCCAUGCUGGCUGUCUUGGAUCACCUCCUUGUUUUGCGUGUGCCUUGACAACUACAUCAGCCAGUUCUCUCAGGACCCUGGAAUGCAUGUCAUCAGGCCCCAUAGAGUUGUUCCUGUUCAGUUUCAUCAGGUGGUCUCAAACCUGCUCUUUGCUUACAGUGGGAAGGACUUUGCUCCCCCAGCCCUCACCUAGAGGUUCAGGGAAAUGAGAAACCUGGGAAGCCUGACUGCCAGUAAAGACUGAGGCAAAGAAGUUGUUGAGUACCUCAGCCUUCUCUGUCUGUUACCAGUUCUCCCUUCUUGUUUUUCAGAGGGGGAACACUCUCCUUGGCCUUUCUUUUCUGGCCAAUGUACCUCUAGAAUCCUUUCUUUUUAUUUUUUUGCAUCUCUUGCCAAGCUCAGUUCCAUCCAUACCUUGGCUUUCCUGAUCCCACCCUUGCACAUCCAGACUGCAUCCCUGUACUCUUCCCAGGCCACGUGUCCCUGCUUCCACUGCCUGUGCAUUUACUUCUUGUGCCUCAGUUUGACCAGCAGGUCCUUGCUUAGCAAUGAUGGUUUUCUGCCUUCCCUGCUUGAUUUCCUCCACAUGGGGUUGGAGUGCUCUUACUAAAGAGAAGUGCUAAACUUCUCUUAAAGGUUAAAGAGUUAAGAGUUCUCUUAAACUUAAAGAGUUGCCAGCUCUGAUCAGUUCCUUUGUCCCUAAAGACAGUGUCCCAUGUUGGUGCUAACGUCAGAGUAAGGAUUUCAGAAACUGGGGAGAGGGCAGAGCAGUGACACCAGAACAGCUUCAGGCUUGAAAGUGUUCCUGGGUUUUAGACCUUAGCUCUCUAUCUUGGUUAGCUUAUCAAAAAGACAGGACUGAGGAUCCGUCUUACAGCCUGCAAGAGGUUAUUCAACAUGUAAUACUGAGUGACCAAGAAUGCUAGAGCCCUAUGGAGAGGCAGAUAAUGAAAAGCAAAGUCUUAGAAAUGCCUGGAUCCUGGCAUUUUUUGGGAUUGGAAAUAGAUCAUAUGUUUUUCACAAAGAAGUUUUCAUCCUUCUAGCAGCCCACCAACAGAACCAAGGGCCCCAUUUCCUGAUGUUUGCAAAUCAAGACCAUGUGCCUUUCUGGAAGAUAUAUUAAAGUUAAAUAUACGUUAGUAGGUUCAAUAUUAGAAAAACUGGAUGAAAUGUGGAGGCUUGUGAUAUGUGAAAGGUUGAAAAAAUAGAACAGUUAAUAAAAUAUUAGAUUAUUAGACUUUUUAUUUGUCUUUAAAUUCUGAGUUUGCAAAUAUGUAAACUUCCACAUUUUGAGAAUUUUCUCAGUUUUGCUUGCAUUCCCUGAGCUGUACCAUGCUGUCUUGGCAGUCAUUCUUUAUAUAUGAGCCUAUGGUCCACUAAAGAUGUGCAGAUAUUUUUGCACCUACUUCCUAAGCUGUGCCUGUUGCAGCUGUUCUGAUAAACAAGAUCUUAAAUAGGGUAUAAGAGUAUUUAGGGAUCAUCCUUUUCUUAGAGUAGAAGAACUCUCCUUCCAUUAACAUCAGUGAUGCAUACACUCUUAGAGAGACACUUCCUAUCUUUUCAAGAACCACUGAGUUGUUUUUAACUCUUAUUCUCUAACAAAUUACAGGGUUGUUUUCUACCUGUAAACUGUACCUUUUAAAAUACUUCAUGUUACUCCACUUUUAUGAGUGGAGUCAACCUUCUAUUACUAUGGAAGUGUCUGGGCAGACAUAAAGUAACAUACAGGUGGCAAGAAGUACUGUGAAAAUUAAGUCUUUUAUAUGUUCACCUGAGCUGGUAUAGGAAGCCUGGAGGAGAAGGAGAGGCACCCAAGAAAUCUGAAAGGUAAUGGUGUUUUUCUGCUUAUUCGAUGCUUUCAAAAUUUUUACCAUUCACACAGAACACUUUCACUGCUUUGAUGCCUAUAUUUUGAUUGUGUUAUGAUUUUGAGCUCAUAGUUUAGUGAACAGAAAAUAAGGUAAAUACAAAUAGGAAACAAAAACAUGCCCAGAGUUUAUAUAGGAAACAUGACUGAAUGUCUGCAAGUGACGGUUGUUUCAGUGCAUGUUUCAAUAUUUAUUAGACUCCCAAAUCCAUCUCACAAGUGCAAAGCAUCAGUUGCCACUUCACAGUAGCAAAUUAGUUACCUGCAUGAAAUUCCUUGUUGAUUUGGCCCUCUCUGUGCUUAGUAUAAUAUUUCAGCAUGGACUAUAGUAUUGAAAAACAGAUUCCUGAUUGGUCUUGCCUUUUAUUUUCAUAAAUGUAUUAGUGACUAGAAAUGACAACUGAGAUUGGGUUCUAGAUUCUAGGAAGAAAGGGUCUCCCAGGUAAGGGCUGUACAAGCUCAAUAGGCAUGGUUGCAAAGAUACAGCAUUUUGUAUAUGUUUUCCAAAAUACGUGUGAUGUACCAUAGGGCAUGGGAGAGGAACACAGGUAAUCCAGCUGUCUUAACCGUGAUGAGUACUUCUAAUUGCAGCAGUUACAAAACUCAUAGCUGGUGGAUUUACCUUGAUUUCUUUUUCCGUAAAUGCAAAUUUAAACAAGGAACACUAAAUGAAAGAGGAGCUUUUGUCUUCUGCCUGUACUGGCCAUAUUUUCAUGCUUUGUCAGUCUCUACUGAGCAAAUUCAAGCUCCUGUAACCUGGUCAGUUUUGUGAACGAGUCAUACCUGUGAAAGUGAUCCCAGGGUUCAGCCCAGCAGUUGUUGCAUUAACAAGCAUAUGAGGGUUCUCUCAGCAUUUUAUUGUUGUUAUGGGGAAGCAGAUGAUUUUGGAAGCUUACAGAUGCUGGUGGGUUUAAUGCCAACAUUUUCUUUAGGCCUUUUAGUGGCCCAGAAAUCACCUUUUUUCUUUGCCAGAAAUAUAAUGUUCUAUAUAUUUUUUCUUAAUUAAAAGAUCCAUAGAAAUCUGAAUAUGUUUUUGUGAAAGAGGCUAUCUCAUGUAAUUCCUACACUGAACAGAUUUGAAGUAAAUGCACUGGACAUCCUUUCCUGUGUAUACCUUUGAUAUAACUUGUUCUUCUUUAUCCAUGUUGGGGCAUGUUGGUGGUGUCCUGCAGCUGCAAUAGUGGAAGAUAACUAAUGUAGCCGUUUAAAAUGGGCUUAAAUUGCAAUAGUGAAAGAUUUUAGCAUUGUUGAUUACAGGCACUUUAGUGACCUGAAAGCUUGUGCACUGCCACCUCUGUGGUGGCUUUGUACUCUUAGUAGACAAGAUACCAUGCCUUUUUGUGGCUCUUCCCACAGAAAUGUGCCUUGGGAGCAGCCCUAGUGAGCAGUGCCACAAAUGUUACAUCAGAUUUGCAUAAUCAGACAGCCCAGGUUUAUUAGAAAGAUCUUUCUAAUGGCUUUAAACUAAGAAAGGGUAGAUUUUGACUAGAGAUAGGAAGAAAUUCUUCACCACAGAGGUGGUGGGACACUAGAACAGGUUGCCCAGAGAAUUGUGGAUGCCCCAGCCCUGGAGGUGUUCAAGACCAGGCUGGAUGGGGCUUUGAGCAACCUGGUCUGGUGAGAGGUGUCCCUGCUCAUGGAAGGGGGGUUUGAAUUAGAUGAUCUUUAAGGUCCCUUCCAACCCAAAGCAUUCCAUGAUUCUGAUUCCAUGGGCAGUUUCAUAGUUUAGUACUCCUUUUUAGUAGCAAUAAGGAAUCACUGAGAGAAGCGUGAAUGCCAGAGAGAGCAACCUGCAUUGUAUGUCCUUCUCCUGAAUUAGAUAUACUUUAGAUGUGAAUUUGCUGGUUUAUCAUUGUUACAUAGGUGUUAUAUCAUCACAAAUCAUCUAAAGAAUUAUUUUUACAGAACUGUUACUUUUAGAGGUCAAACCACACAACUGAUAAGUGUUCAAAUUGCCCCAAAAUGAAAUCUACUAAAAUAUCUGCUGCUUCUCAAAAUCUUCAACAGUUUCCAAAUGAAAAUAUUAUAAAAUCUGAAACCUACAUGGAUUGCUUAGCAAAUGUUAAAAGCAAAGUUUUAUAUGUCUUAUAAAACUCUGAUUUUUUUAAACUUUUAUUAAAAAAAAAAAAACUUAUAAAACUGCCAUAUUUGUUCAUUCAAUUUAAUCUAACUCUGCAGAGGAUUUGGUAUUUCUAAAAGAGAUACUUUUUUUUUUUUUUUUUUUUCUGCAAACAAAGAAAAUAAACUCUACAACAAACAAAAACUCAGUUGUAAUUUCACCCUUGUUCUCAUGAUUUUCCAUAACUCCAUAAAGAAAAUGAAAAACUACUUCUUCAUGUACUUUGUAGUUCUUAUGACCUGAGGAUCAAUUCAAUAAAGCUUAUGAUAGUAUCAUUGCUGACUUUCAGAGAGACUUUAUUUUCAUUCCACAAAGUGUAGCCUUAAGAGCUAAUGGGAAAUUUCACUCGUUAGUAUGUGAUUUGUUUCUAUCUGUAGUAAAAGAGCAAUCUUAAGGUUAAUACACCAGCAUGCCCUGUACAAUGGUAGAUAAAGACACUGCCUGUUAUCUUGUAUCUGGACAUGUUGUCAUGAACUUCAAAGCAAGGUCGAAACCUUAGCUUCAAGCUUUCAUGCCCUUCCAUUUGCCUUGUUCAAAUCCUAAAUAUAAGCUUUGGUAUCCUUCAAAUGGUGUCAUGACACUCAUUAUAUACCAUCAAGGGCCAGAUUUAAGAAGCAAACUAGGACUCAGGUCCACAUGCAGUAUAACCAUUGCUUAAACUGGCACGGGAGGAAAUAACAGAAACCCAGAGUGAUGGCAAACUUUUCCUGCUUUGCUUCAUGUCUGUUCCUGGUACCAGGUGGCCAGAGCACCACUGAUCAACUGUUCCCAAUUGGAAAUAGGACAAAGGAAAAUAACAUGAUGGUUAGGGAAGGCUCUGAUGAGUGCCAGGCUCUCUGGGCCACAACUCAGGCUCUGCUCUCAGCUGAAACCCAAUGCAAAUACAACCUCCCCAAGCAAGCUCUGACACAGCACAGGCUGCCAGGGGUAUCUUGCAGGUAACAUUGCUGAUUCCUUCUACUGUUUUAAAUUCAUGAGGUUAUAGUUAAUCUAUAGGUACUGCUGCUCCACAUAUAUUAUUCAGUUUUCUGUUGAAUUCUAGAAACGCUAGUGCACGCAGUUGGAUGUUCUGAAAAAUAUGUUGACAAUAAGGCAUACUACGCGCAGUGGUAAAUAGAGAUAAUCUCUUAACAAGGCUCUGGUUUUGUAGCAGUAUGUAAAAGAUAUGAGGAGUAAAAAUGCACCAUGUUGGGAUAGUUAGGUUCCCUUAGAAGAGGGUGUAUAUGUGUGUGCAGUGGUCAGAUAGCUAUCCUGCAAAACACACUGCAGAAGGCGGUGCUGGUAUCUAACUGACAGAUCAGCAGCAAUGCUUCCUGCUAAGGGUGCAUCAUCCUGUAUUCUAGUACCAGAUGAGGGUUUAUGGCUUUUUUGUUUGCUUUGUUCAUUAUCUGGGGUUUUCUUUUGGGGGGAAAUUGACCUCUCAUUCUGAUGCGUUGAAUAAAUCAAGAUCACCUGGCAUUAACACUUGGAAGAAUAUUUGAAAAACACCAUUUCAGAAAUUCAGUCCUCCCGACUCUGAAGCAGUGGGCCACAAACACCAGAUACACAUACACCAGAGCAGUUAUCGCCUUGUGAUCAGGCACUCAAUGGGCAGCAGAAGGCUCAACCUCAAGCCCUUCUUCCAUUAACCUGAUGCCAUAUGUCUGCCUUCUAAGUCUGCAUGAAGACUGUUGGAGUAUGAAAUAUUCAUUGGGAAAUGUACUGUACAUGAGGAUUCAACUAUGAAGCUGCUUUUCAGAUCUCUUUUAUGUAGUUUGAUUCAAAAUUUUAUUCUGAACCUGAGAAACCAUUUCAUUCUCAAUGUUUUAUCAAAAAUAAGCCAUUCCCAUGAAAGUUUCCACUUCUGUUAAUCACCAUUUUUUUUUUUUUCCAGGGUUGAAUGAAUUUUCAGUUAGCACUUCUUCAUAGAAUUAUUAUGCCCUUUGCCAUAGAGAGGUCUUUUCUGGCUAUGGUCUCAGUCUGGUGUUAAGGGAGUUGAUACAUUCUUGCAUAUAUUAUACCUGGACUCAGAAGGUUUGGGUCUAACUUCUGGGUUCAUUUUCAAAUUGCUGAGGGACUGAGGUUAGUUUACCUCCCUUGUCCUCUUUGAAAAUGAGAAUACCGGUACUGAUCUCAUUCAUUGUGUGCUUCAGGGUCCACAGAUGGUGUAUUUUAUGUGUACAUUUUAUGUGUACAUUUUAUACAUGUUCCAAGGCAACAUUUUGUUUCAACAAGAUCCAAAGAAUGGGCUUUUCUAAACAUUUAAUUUUAUUGUUACUCUUGAAUAAUUGAACCAUGUGGAAGAGGCACAUUAUAUUUUCUUCUUGCUGGGAAUGAGAACUCAAUCCAUAGUACUACAUCCUCUAUGGGUCAUUUACUUUUUGCUUGGAAAAUGGCAUAGCUUAUCCCCAAACCAACCCUUUGUUACAGAGCAGGCAUCUGGUUUGUGACAAGCCUGUUGACUGGGAUCUAUCAUCUAGAUUUAUAAAAGACUUGCAUGUCCAUUCCGUGAAUAUGAUUGGAUUACUUUGGCUUCACUCACAGUUUUGUUGUCGUUUUUGUUCGCCACUGUGAAGUGCAGCUUCAGCCGUUGCGAACGAGGGGGGUCUGUCAGUUUGCAUCAACUGAUGAAUUUGCCUAAUGAUUUCCCUCUCUGUACUCUUGCCUCUUGGAGUGGCACCUUAUGGGUGGUGUUGACUUCAGAACAGUAGCCCCAUGUUAAUGCGCGAGGCUUUAUGCAGGCCUGGAGCACUGAAAAAUAUUGUCACUCAACACUGUUCUUUCAAUACCUAGUGAUGGUUUGCCUAUUUAUGUCUCUUUCUGAAAUUGUGACCAUGUCUAUCUGUCUAAUAAAGCAGCAAAAAGGUGGGUCUUUCAUAACUUUACUAAAAGCUUUUCAAUUAAUCCCUGUUGAAGUAAUAUAAUUUGGUUUACUGUAAACAUUAUUUUUUAAUAUUAACAUCUAAAUUGUUGUUUUGUCUCUCAUUUUUGCUGUUGUUUAUGUGUUUAUUCCCUCCAGGCACAUGUACUAUAGCUUUUAGAUAUGAAUUAAUCAUUCUUUCUCUAUCACCAAAAAAAUCACGUUUAUAUGAUAUCCUGCAGCUCUCUGUUGUUUACAUAGUAUUAGCAUGGGGAAAUACUACUUUCAGUUUGAUACAUAAAGCCCUCCUUGUCUCUUGUGCUUUUGUCUGUAGGCUAUUAUGCAUGUGACUAAAACCGUGCAUGACUUGAGCAAAUGUUUGAAUAGGGUUCUUGUGCAGUAGGAUUGUAUAAGCCAUUAGGCAUACUCUCUUUAACUUGGUGAUGAAAACAUUGUGGUACAUUUGGUGGCACAAAGUGGAGUAAAAUUCCCUUUGUGGAAGCAGAAUAAACAGCACUCUGGUUUGGCUUUAUUAUUGUGCACAUGGCUGUGCUGCAGACUUCUGGCAAAUUUUCAAAGACCAAGAAUGAAAAGCGUUAAGGUUACUGAAGUUAUGGAGAGAAAGCUGGACUGGAAAGAGAUAAAAAAUGUAUUGCUUUUUUUCAUUCUGAAAUUUGAAAUCAAUAUUAAUCUUUGUGUGUGUGUGUCUGUGUCUGUGUCUUUAAAGCCCUGAAAUCUGUUAAUUGACAUAUGGGAUUGUUGCUACCCAUCUUUUCUAUGUAUAAAGUCUUUUGUAAGAGCAUUGUUUUUCUUUUCUCUCUGUAUGUAAUGAAUACUACAACUAGGGACUUGAAUUUUGCUAUGGGAAUGUGAAAAACAUGGGAAGCUGCCCUCUGCCAAGCUAUUUCCUGAAGGAUCCACUUUACAUAGUGCUGAAUCAAUGGCCUGUCAGGUGUAGUUAUAUGACAUAGUGAUGAUAUGAGGUCAAUCAGAUGAAACCAAGGUAUGUAUUCCCAGCAGAUCCCAGCUAUCUGUUUAACAUUGUCAAACUGAAUUUGCUUUGGUACAGAGCAUCCUCUUUCAGCUUUAUUUGUUUCUAAAUUUGCUUAACUCUGAAUUUGCAUCUAUUUUGUGAAAUUCUAACAAUGGAAAAAAUGUUUCAUUCAUUUUGUUUUGUCUUGAAAUACUAUGCUAUAUGUUUGCUAUUUGGUCUUUCAACACAAAACUCUCUUUGUUAUGUCUAUUUGCAGCUCUUCCUCUUCUAGCCGAAGGGUCUAUUCCAUGUAAUAAUGUGAACAAAUAAGUUCUCUGCUGUAAUGGUGAUGUGGUAUUUAAUGAAUCUAUCCUACUGUAACAUAAAUCCAGUAUUUCCUAAACAUGUGAAUUAUUUUUUAGAAAACAUUACCUUAUGUAUAUAUGCAUAUUUCUUAAGAUAUUGUAUCUGUGAAGAAAAAGAUACACAAAUUAGGUAUGUUAAACAAUAUUUUUCAUGGAAUAGCUCAUUGUGCCCUGGAAAACCUGCAUCUUACCAAUGUUUCAAAUAUUUUCAUACCAGAGGGGAAAUUAUUUUCUUGAAGUGGAUUCAAGAUUUUCCUUAUUUCCUAAAUAAAAUGAAAAAAAAAAAAAUCCUGUCAGCCUAAUGACUGAAAAAUGUAAGCAUUAAAAACAAACACAUUUUUGACAUGUUGUGUACAGCACACAGUGAAUAGGCAAAACAACCUUUUAGCUAUUGUACACUUCUCUUUGGGAGCAGAAGACACAAACAAUAACUCACUGUAGAAACUAAAUAUCUGGAUGAAAAAAUGCAUUUCUUAGGUAAAGUUAUAAGAAACGAGAGAGAAAAGGUGGUGUUUGUUUUUUGUUUUGUUUUAUUCUUAAGGAAAAAGAGACAAUGUUGUAACAACGACACUAAAACUAGAAAAUUUCAAAAUUCAUAUAAAAAUAUCUCAUUCAGGAAUGAAGACGGUCCUACAGAAAGCUGCUCUAAAAUUUUGUAUGAAAAAUCUCUGUUUUGUAUUCAGAUGUAAUUCAUCCUUAAUUUUAUCCUUGCUAAAGAUAGCCUAAACACUGUCAUUUGAACACAAAUUAGUGUAAGUUUGCUUUGUGGUUUCUUUCUUUCAGAUUUUCUGAAGUCAUCUGUUGAUUUUCUGUGCUGCAAGAUCAGCGCUAAAUCAUUUUAACAACUGUAUGCUAUGUUUCAGAAACAUAAAAAAUUGCAGUUCUUCAAAUAGAAGCAACAAAGAUCUCAUCCCACAAUGGAGCACUGGAAAAAGAACACAAAGCAAGGGGCCGGCAGCAUUGCUACCUGGGGAGAGCCCACUGGCGGGCAGUGAGCACUGGGGGCUGCCUCCAUGCUCCAGCGGGACCAGGAGGGCCCAAGCUGCCUGCACGAGACAAACGUAGUGCCAAGGCAGAGCGCUCUCCUCUCUCUGCUCUGCAGGAUGCUCAGUGCCCUGCAUCCUGCAGCUCCAGGCAACGUGGCUGAGCCUCAUCCUUCCUGAGAGGGAUUUUGUCCAGUGAGAUCAUCUGGGACACUUCACAAAUCUCUCUGGUGGAGACUUACAGGGUACACUAGUCUGUUCAUAUUUCUAAAAAUGAGCAAAUACCUUCUCUGUUUGGGACUCUUCCCUCCAUUUUUGUGGCACUGGGUUGACUACCCAAGCAGGGCUUCCUGCCAUGCUCUGAAAUGAGGAAGAUUAUCCAUGUGCAGCUUGAAAAUGGAGCUAUGUACCUGCACAUGUUCAGUCCCAUUACAAAGAAGGCCAGGACAGCAGGAGUAGAGGCAGAGGACAGCAUAUAAUUUUUAUUUAUAUUUUUCUUUAAAGUGAAAUGUAAAACCUGCUACUAGAAAUAAAUGCUUUCUUCACGGUGCAGUAACAAGGAAGGGAGAACACAAUUUCCAAGCAAAUUGCAAAAGUUCAGGAAAUUCUUGGCCCACUAUUUAUUCCAA